CCAGUCUUGGGUUUGGGGGUUUCCCGGCAGGAGGACACGGACCCAAGGACACUCCAUCCCAGAGGGGGCCCAGCCUGGAGAUCCGUGCAUCCCUGGACUUCCUGGGGGGGAUCGACGAAGACAAAGAGAGAGGGACCGAGUAAGGGAGAGCCCCGGUGAAGGGAAGAAGAGGUGGAGUGAACUGGGAUCUUCUUAGCGAAGAUUGACG